rnacentral:misc_RNA from 1 species
UCCUUGAGGGAUGGAAAGAAUGAUGUUGCUUGUCCCUCAAUUUCUAUGCAUUCUAAAUCAUUUAAUGCCCAAAUAUCUAACAUUUGAAGCGAAGGGAAUUGAUCCAGCGGUGGGAGAUGCUGACAUCUGGAAUCCCCUAACUUAAUAUUGACAAGAUUUGUGAGGGAAGAAACCCAACUUGGAAACCUCGUGCCUCUGUACUUAUACACCUUUAACUGCUUAAGAUUAGGAUGUGGUUGGAGAUUUUGGAAAGCCAUUUCUUCAUUAUCAACAUUUGCAUCAUCAUCUAGAUACCGAUUCGAAUAUAAAAUCAAUGAUUGAAGAAGCGACUUGUUUUUUAAAUUAGGAUUUAUUAUCCCAUUUUCCACAUAUCCGAAAUUUCUAAUCACAAGACUUCCUCCCAAAUUGUUGAGGCUCUUCAAUUCAUUUAAUCCUCCAACA